rnacentral:rRNA from 1 species
UACGGAGGGUGCAAACGUUGCUCGGAAUCAUUGGGCGUAAAGCGCGCGUAGGCGGCUCGUUAAGUCGAAUGUGAAAGCCCGGGGCUCAACCCCGGAAGUACAUACGAAACUGGCGAGCUUGAGUAUGGAAGAGGGUCUCGGAAUUCCCGGUGUAGAGGUGAAAUUCGUAGAUAUCGGGAGGAACACCAGUGGCGAAGGCGGAGACCUGGGCCAAUACUGACGCUGAGGUGCGAAAGCGUGGGGAGCAAACAGG